rnacentral:rRNA from 1 species
GUCGAGAAUCUUUCACAAUGGGGGCAACCCUGAUGGAGCGACGCCGCGUGGAGGAUAAGGUCUUCGGAUUGUAAACUCCUGUCAUGCGUGAACAAGGUUGCUUGGUUAAUACCUGGGCAAAUUGAUGGUAACGCAAGAGGAAGAGACGGCUAACUCUGUGCCAGCAGCCGCGGUAAUACAGAGGUCUCAAGCGUUGUUCGGAAUCACUGGGCGUAAAGGGUGCGUAGGUGGCGUGGUAAGUCAGAUGUGAAAGCCGGGGGCUCAACCUCGGAACUGCAUCAGAUACUGCCAUGCUAGAGUACUGGAGAGGUGACUAGAAUUCUCGGUGUAGCAGUGAAAUGCGUAGAUAUCGAGAGGAAUACCAAAGGCGUAGGCAGGUCACUGGACAGUUACUGACACUGAGGCACGAAGGCCAGGGGAGCAAACGGGAUUAGAUACCCGUGUAGUCC